UGCCCUAGUAACGGCGAGUGAAGCGGCAACAGCUCAAAUUUGAAAUCUGGCUACCUUUCGUAGUCCGAGUUGUAAUUUGUAGAGGAUGCUUUUGGUGAGGUGCCUUCCGAGUUCCCUGGAACGGGACGCCAUAGAGGGUGAGAGCCCCGUACGGUUGGAUACCAAGCCUCUGUAUAGCUCCUUCAACGAGUCGAGUAGUUUGGGAAUGCUGCUCUAAAUGGGAGGUAUAUCUCUUCUAAAGCUAAAUAUAGGCUAGAGACCGAUAGCGCACAAGUAGAGUGAUCGAAAGAUGAAAAGCACUUUGAAAAGAGAGUUAAACAGCACGUGAAAUUGUUGAAAGGGAAGCGCCUAUGACCAGACUUGUUUCUGGCAGUUUCGUUAGCCCUCGGGCUGAUUUACUCUGUCCAGUACAGGCCAGCAUCAGUUUGCUGUCGGGGAGAAAGGCUCUGGGAACGUAGCUCCCCCCUUCUGGGGGGAGUGUUAUAGCCCUCUGCAUAAUACCCUUCGGCAGACUGAGGACCGCGCUUCGGCAAGGAUGCUGGCGUAAUGGUCAUCAGCGACCCGUCUUGAAACACGGACCAAGGAGUCAACCUUAUGUGCGAGUGUUUGGGUGUAAAACCCCAGCGCGUAAUGAAAGUGAACGUAGGUGAGAGCUUCGGCGCAUCAUCGACCGAUUCUGAUGUUUUCGGAUGGAUUUGAGUAAGAGCACACAGGGUUGGACCCGAAAGAAGGUGAACUAUGCUUGUAUAGGGUGAAGCCAGAGGAAACUCUGGUGGAGGCUCGCAGCGGUUCUGACGUGCAAAUCGAUCGUCAAAUAUGAGCAUGGGGGCGAAAGAC
rnacentral:rRNA from 1 species